rnacentral:rRNA from 1 species
CAAUAGCGUAUAUUAAAGUUGUUGCAGUUAAAAAGCUCGUAGUUGGACCUUGGACCUGGACAGGCGGUCCGCCUCACGGCGUGUACUGUCUUGCUGGGUCUUUCCUCUUGGUGAUCUGUUGUUUCGGCAGCAGGGAACCAGGACUUUUACUUUGAAAAAAUUAGAGUGUUCAAAGCAGGCUCGACGCCGGAAUAUAUUAGCAUAGAAUAAUAAAAUAGGACGUGCGGUUCUAUUUUGUUGGUUUUUGGAAUCGCCGUAAUGAUUAGUAGGGACAGUCGGGGGCAUUAGUACUCACAUGCUAGAGGUGAAAUUCUUGGAUUUUGUGAAGACUAACUUCUGCGAAAGCAUUUGCCAAGGAUGUUUUCAUUAA